rnacentral:misc_RNA from 1 species
CUGCCCUCAAGCACGGCUUGUGUGUUGGGCCCCCGCCCCCCGGCUCCCGGGGGGCGGGCCCGAAAGGCAGCGGCGGCACCGCGUCCGGUCCUCGAGCGUAGGGGGCUUCGUCCCCCGCUCUGUAGGCCCGGCCGGCGCCCGCCGGCGACCCCCCUCAAUCUUUCCA